GGGAGGUAGUGACAAUAAAUAACAAUACAGGGUCCUUUUGGGUCCUGUAAUUGGAAUGAGUACAAUUUAAAUCCCUUAACGAGGAACAAUUGGAGGGCAAGUCUGGUGCCAGCAGCCGCGGUAAUUCCAGCCCCAAUAGCGUAUAUUAAAGUUGCUGCGGUUAAAAAGCUCGUAGUUGAAUUUCGGGACCAUCAUGUCGGUCGUGCCUCGGUACGUACUGGCAUUGUUGGUUUCUCCCUUCUGACGAACCAUGAUGUCAUUUAUUUGGUGUUGUGGGGAAUCAGGACUGUUACUUUGAAAAAUUAGAGUGUUUAAAGCAGGCUCACGCUUGAGUACAUUAGCAUGGAAUAAUGAAAUAGGACGUUUGAUUCUAUUUUGUUGGUUUCUAGGAUCGACGUAAUGAUUAAUAGGGAUAGUUGGG
rnacentral:rRNA from 1 species